rnacentral:misc_RNA from 1 species
AGUUAAUCUAGCUAGACAUAUAUAUAAUAUAUAUACAAAAUUUAAAAAAAAAAUUAUCAUUUUUUGGUUUCCAUAUGCUCUUCUGAUUCAAGAUAUCGAUACAUAUCUUUCAACUAUGUUAAAAGAAUGUAAUGAUUCAGAGAAAGGUUAGCUCUUCCAAAGCUGUAAGUCUACAUGUAUAUAUAUAGCAGCCUUCUCUGGUACUUCACCUUCACGAAGCUUU